UUAUGCAUAUGUAAAUAAGAGUAAGCCAUCUUUGUAUUCAGCUUCAGCUUAAAAUGCCUGUAAACUAAAUACUCCAAUAGUUGCAAGUUGCCCAUGAGACAGAGCCCUCAGGACUGGGCGCUCACCUGCGGAGCAUCUCCAGGAAGAGCCGGGUGUGGAGCGUAACCAGCACUUCGGCAGUUUUCCUGCUGUAGGAACUCCUGACCUCCCUGGAGGCCUUCUCCCACCUGGGCAGUAACCCGGUCGUGCUCUGCCUCUCAAUCCUGGAGCAAGUGACUUGUCCAGAGACAGAAUGAAGGGCGCAAAUCAGAAAUCUCCACUUCCCAAGCCCAGCAGCCUUGAAUCCUUCUGGAGCUCUUUGAAGAUCAGCCAGCAGAAGAUUAUUAGCUGAUGCUAGUGGGGAAUCAGAAGUGUGAAUGGUGUCUUGGCAACAACUGAAUAGCAUGAGAUGAGUAUCUCAGUACCGCAAGGUACCUAGUUAAAUGGGGGGAGUUGAUAACAUGGGUCCUGCUUAAGGGUGCCUGUGGAUCACAUGGGUUGAGUCCUGUACACCCCCAGUCAUGGACAAAUUUCCAGUAUUAAAAAUCCUGGUACAGAGGAGUUUGCUUCUUGCUUGGUUUCUCUUACACUAUAAUUGACUCCUGGGAAGCCUUUGCCCUUCAUCUUUAGAAAGGCAGUCAUAUGUAGUUAAUAUAGAUGUAAGGGAUCCUCAUGUGGUUUUUACUUAUGUUUAGUGCAUAUUAAUUAUUUCCACUUUAUUGUUGUAACAAUAGAAAUCCAAUAUAUUUUGUCUG